rnacentral:rRNA from 1 species
UGAAGCGGGAAGAGCUCACGUUUAAAAUCCGAUCCAUGAAGAGGUUGGAAUUGUAAGCUGGAGAGACGAGGCCGGCUUGGAGGGCUGCGGCGAAGUCAGAUUUGAAAAGGGUAUCAAGGAGGGUGGCAGUCCMGUCCGUGCCGCAGGUCGCCUUGCCAAGGGCCCGUUUUCUACGAGUCGAGUUGCUUGGGAUUGCAGCUCAAAUAGGGUGGUAAAUCCCAUCCAAAGCUAAACACGGGUAGGAGACCGAUAGCGAACAAGUACCGUGAGGGAAAGAUGCAAAGAACUUUGAAAAGAGAGUCAAAGAGUGCCUGAAAUUGCUGAGAGGGAAGCGAAGGAAAGUAGCAACUUCCGGCGGGAUCUAGUCGUUUGUACGUGCUGCAAAGUGUGUCUUGCGUUACUGUCCCCCGCGAUGUUAGGACCGGGUGGGGCUGCGUGAUCGCUGCAUGUGGGCAGGUAGGCCGAGGUUACAGCCGGCCGAUUUAGGCCACAAGGCAUCGCCGCGGCUCCG